CCGGUAUAUCUUGUGAUUCACUAUGUUAUUUAUCGAAGGGAUAGGAAUAAUAGAUAUAUAAUUUAUCAUUACAAGUUUUAUAUUCAGCUUCAGCUCCCCCGCUUGGGUUCCCACUUCAUUUUGGCAUAUCGUUUCCCACCGUUUCAUUCGAAUUCUGCCGGCAGCCAACCGCUGAUGUGGUCAGGUGGGGCAGAGCCGAGAGAGAAAAAAAGGAAAA
rnacentral:lncRNA from 1 species